GAUCAUGGCUCAGGAUGAACGCUGGCGGCGUGCUUAACACAUGCAAGUCGAACGCUGAAGCUCCCAGCUUGGCUGGGGGUGGAUGAGUGGCGAACGGGUGAGUAUCACGUGAGUAACCUGCCCUUGACUCUGGGAUAAGCCCGGGAAACUGGGUCUAAUACUGGAUAGGACUGGCCAUCGCAUGGUGGUUGGUUGAAAGCUUUUUGCGGUUUUGGAUGGACUCGCGGCCUAUCAGCUUGUUGGUGGGGUAAUGGCCUACCAAGGCUUUGGCGGGUAGCCGGCCUGAGAGGGUGACCGGCCACACUGGGACUGAGACACGGCCCAGACUCCUACGGGAGGCAGCAGUGGGGGAUAUUGCACAAUGGGCGCAAGCCUGAUUGCAGCGACGCCGCGUGAGGGAUGACGGCCUUCGGGUUGUAAACCUCUUUCAGUUGGGAAGAAGCCUUUCGGGGUGACGGUACCUUCAGAAGAAGCACCGGCUAACUACGUGCCAGCAGCAGC
rnacentral:rRNA from 1 species